UUAAUAAGCGGAGGAAAAGAAACUAACCAGGAUUCCCUCAGUAAGGGCGACUGAAGCGGGAAUAGCCCAUACGAAAUCUGCGCGCAAGCGCCGAAUUGUGGUCUGGAGACGCUUGUGUUACUGGCUGGGCCAAGUCCCUUGGAACGGGGCAGCUGAGAGGGUGAGACUCCCGUGUGCCUGGCCGGGUGAGCGAGUAGUCAACGAGUCGAGUUGUUUGGGAUUGCAGCUCUAAGUGGGUGGUAAAUUCCAUCUAAGGCUAAAUACUGGUGGGAGACCGAUAGCGUACAAGUACCGUGAGGGAAAGAUGCAAAGAACUUUGAAAAGAGAGUUAAAGAGUACCUGAAAUUGCUGAAAAGGAAGCGAAGGAAACCAGUGCCAGAUGCGUCAUACUUCCUCAAUCGCUUGCGAUUGGGGCGCUGUGGCCAUCGUUGCCAGAGUUGUUUGGUUGGGCUGGAAGUGCGUUCAGGGAGUUGACCUGAGCAUGCCGCAGUUCGAGCGAAUGAGUUUUGGCGAAAUGGUUUUCUUUUCCCCG
rnacentral:rRNA from 1 species